UAAAAUGGGAGGUAAAUUUCUCCUAAGGCUAAAUAACGGCGAGAGACCGAUAGCGAACAAGUACCGUGAGGGAAAGAUGAAAAGAACUUUGAAAAGAGAGUUAAACAGUAUGUGAAAUUGUUGAAAGGGAAACGAUUGAAGCCAGUCGUACCUAUGGGUAAUCAGCCUUUUGGGUGUGAUUUUGUGGAGCGUGAAGAGUUAAACGCCUUCAUGCCUGCAUAUUCGUGCACUUUGGGUGUACUUGCCCGUGUGUAAGUUAACAUCAAUUUUGGUGGUCAUAAAAUGGCUGGAGGAAUGUAGCUUCGAUCUUGUAUUGAAGUGUUAUAGCCUUCGGUAGAUGUGACGAUCGGGAUUGAGGAUUGCAACGGAUACCCUUCGGGGCUACCUGUCUGAUCUCUGAUUGUUGCUCUGGUGCCGAAAGCUUGCUUACGGUUAUCAAAGUCGAUGGUCAAUAGGUUAGAACGGGUUAAAUUCGUUAAGGAUGUUGACGUAAUGGCUUUAAACGACCCGUCUUGAAACACGGACCGAGGAG
rnacentral:rRNA from 1 species